GCGGAAGUGGCGAAAUUGGUAGACGCACCAGAUUUAGGNNGCCGCGAGGCGUAAGAGUUCAAGUCUCUUCUUCCGCACCA
rnacentral:tRNA from 1 species